GUGACAUAAGAGCUCUAUCACUUCUCUCCCACUUUCUCUUUUUCGUUUUCAGAAACCAUCUUCAUCCUCUUCAUUCUUCUUUUGUAAACUUGGUUUUCUGAAGGAUUUCGAAGCUCAUAUCCAUGGUGAAUCGAGCAUUCAAAAAUAGAAAUGAGUAGAGUACAAAAAUAGGAACAAGAUAAUGUAUAGUGGUUCGGUUUUCACCUACAUCCACUGUUGAAGCUCAUCAGAGUAAUUUUUAUUCUUCAAAGAAGAGAUAAGUUUCUAUGACUCUCCUUUUACAAAAUCACUCACUCUCUAUUUUCUUUACAUACAGAGCUAUAUAUAAUAUUCAAGAGAGUUUACAAGAAGCUAAAAAUAUGUUCUAACUGAUUUUCAACUGUUUUCUGUUUCAGGGACAACAACAACUAAUUGGAGGCUCCAGACUUUGGCUCACAUCAGUUACAGAUCUUCACCUUGAGAUAAAAUGGUCUCUGAUGCUUCAUCUUCUUCAAGUUUAGAAUCAAAAGCAUGGAAAUAAUGUCUGUGGGAUUCUUUGAUGGGGUUCUAAAGUCUGAAAAUCACACAUGUCUAUGUAUCGAGUGCAUGGUUUGGAAGCCUGGGUUUUUGAAGUAUGUGUUGGAUUUUGGAAAUCUCAUUUUUUUCCUAUUUUUUAGUGGUUGUUUUGUGACUGUAUAUAAUCUCUAGUGAUUUUAAAUAAUUUUUUAUGAUAAUUUUGAAAGAAAACUUUAAUCAAUCCAUUUUAAAAUAAAAUGUAUAUUAACUUCGUCUUUUGUAAUCUUGAUUAAUUCAAUUAAUUCAUUUGAUCCA